GGGGCAUUGCUGCGGACUGUACAGUCCUUUCCUGGUGUUGAAGAAAUGCAAGUAAGAACUUGAAUAAUUCUGAAACUGCUUCCUGGCCAGACUGUGUCACUCACACAGACGUUGCUCAGUGACUGGACCUCACAGAAUGGCUUAAGAGUGCCGUGGUGUGUUUAAAAGUCGUCUCCUAAAUCCUCAAGGUUCAGGCAUUAGCUAUUCCAUUUUACAACUUUUGCCUGCUCUUACAGCGCAGCAGCAGAAUUGAUCACUGCCUGACAUUUUCCUUGAGUGGGAUUUACAUGGAGUUGCAGCUGCAGGGGGCAUCUGAAUGUUAGAUGUCAAACAUUUUGGAUGCCCUAGAGCCAGGGAUUAGAAAAUGCGGUUGAGGGAUGGGGCCGCUUCUUUUUGGAAUGCUUAGGAGCUCUGUCAAUCAGUUAAAACCCUUCUUUUUGCAAUACUUAGGAGCUCUGUGAAUCAGUUAGUCAUCUAACAAGCAGAACUCCGGGCUCUAAGAGUCACUCUCUGGUCUCCAUUGUCCUCAUCUGUAAAGGAGGGAGGUGGGUGAUCAAGAUCUCAGGUCCCUUCUCAUCCAGUGAUUCUUUGUAUUUCUCCAGUGCUCACCCCUUAUUCCCCUGUGCUGGGGAUAUGGGGAACCUUGAACAGGAGAAGGCCUGGGCCUUGCCCUUAAGGAAUUGAUCUGCUAAUACUCAGCACAGGCCCCGAGGGAGGUGGGAAGCGGCCACACUGUGGGUUUGCCGGGACAGAAGGUGGGAAGGCGAGGUGAGGGAUGGUGUCCUCUGCACCCGGCACACUCAGGCUCUGGCCUUUGGGGAGGAAGUGGAGGUGGGGGUGGGGUUCAUGCCUGAGGUGCUUGCCCUCUACCGAGAUGUACCGAGAUGUACCGAGACUCUGAGGGUGGUGGGCCAGCCGUCGUCCAGCAUGGGGCCAUGGUCAGGGUCCUCCAGGGAAUACUCGGCUGAGAAAGUCACUGGCUUCACGUAGUCAGCAGUGUCCUGGGGGGUGGAGACGAGGGCAGGGGUGAGGGAGGAGAGAACGUCAUUUUAUGAGCCAGGACCAUGGAUGCUGAGAUAGAACUUUCACCUUCCUAAGGUGGCAGGGCAGCUGCCCUGUCCCCUCAGGAUGAGUCCGCGGGUGGAUGGAGGUUUCUAGCGGGUCUGUUGGUGGGAAGAGUGUGCCUCUGUGAAAGGAGCUCCAAGCUCAGCUCAUGCCAACCUAGCUGUCUGGCUGUUUCACCAAGCUCCUGCGCAUCCUUCAGGGCCAGACUCCCAUUGCCCGGAUACCUUGGCCUCCGGGAAGCCUGGCAGUGCCGGCCCGCCUCCCACCCCACCCACCACUCUGUUCAGACCAGUUACGCCUGCUGCUCACGUAGCAUUUGAACCAUUUGACUGUGGUCACUCUUCCUUCCCAAGCAAGGAAUGGGCCUGGAGCCUCCCAGCAUGGCCCUAGCACUGUAACAAGGGCUUCAGCAUGUGGAAUGGGUGAAUGAACAAACUCGUGAGCAAGACAGGGGCACUCAGGUUGGUUCUGAGCAUAGAUGGUAAGUAAAAGGGUGGCUUAUAGCUGCCUAAAACCUUCCCCUUGGAACUUGCAAUCCUGAUUAUAUAAAGGCAGUGGCUCUCAAACCUGAGCUGGUAUCAGAGUCCCCUUGGAGCUUGUUAAAAUAUGGGAUGCUGGCCCCAUUCCCAGAGUUUCUGAGUCAGAACAUGUGAAUUUCCAAGUUUGUGGGGAGGGUGAGGAUGCUGCUGGUGUGGAUGCAUCUCAGGGGAUCCCUUAACAGGGAUGUGCCUUCUCACACCUGCUCACGUCUCUGACCUCUGGCCAUUGAACUACUGGGGCCAGGAGGGCUCUGAGUGACCUUGCUUGCAUCUCUGAGGCUGGAGCUCUGGAUGGAAGUAAACCUGUCAUCCUCUUCCUUAGCUAUAAAAUGGGGCACCAGGCCACUACCCUGCUCGUGACAUCACUGGCGCCCCUCUCUGUCUCUCCUCCCGUUUUGUACAUGCGACUGCCUCCUGGACCUGGCCUUCAAUUGUUAGCUGCUGCCUGCUUAUCCCUCCCUUUGGGGCCGUGCCCCCCACUGGCUGCUCCUGGCUCUCUCUGCUGGACCUACUGAGCCCACCUUCCUUCUCUCGGCAUCUGAGAGUGGCGGGAUAAGAGGUUUUGGAAGGAAGUCCAGUGAGGUGGUGUGUAGCGUGUCUCUGGGGCAUGAGGUGGGAAUGUGGAGUGGCCAAGUUCAGGGGAUACAGACCCCGGCUGGCUUCCUGAGGUCUGCUGGGGGCUCAGAACCAGCCAGCCACCCGGUGGACUCUCUGCCUCUCCCACGGCAGGUGCUCCUUCCUGUAGGAGCUUGGGCUCUGCUGGUGGGGCUGCCAGCUCACCAGGACAUGGAAGUUGAUCCUCUCACAGAGCUCCUGGCCGGAGGAGAGCAGGACAGCUCUGUUGGUGAAUCGGUCCCCGCCCUCAUCCAGGUGGGCCCUCGGUGUAUACCGCCUCUCGUCCAUGGUGGCAUUGUAUCUGAUGCCUGCAGGAGGGGAGAGGGCAAGACCACAAAGGUGGAGCCACAUGCCCAUCCAAGACUGUCUGCCUCCUCCAGGAAGCCCCCCAGGCUGGCCAGGGGAGAGCUAUUCCUUUCCUCUCACGAGCCCCAGUGUGGGUGAGAAACUCCCACAUGGAGAGCAAGUGAUUGCAUGAGGAAGGGAAAGGAAGGAACCAAAGAAAAGGGGGAGGAAGAAGGUGGAGAAAGAGCAGGAGGAAGAAAUGGAGGGAAAGUGAACACCGCAGACAAGGAGGGAGACAGGAUGUGGGGCCAGGGCGGUGCCAUGUUGAGCCCUUGCUGCAGUCAACAACCCCCUCCGCCUCUCCCUCCACCUUCCCUGUCUCUCCCUGGGCUCUGGGAUCCCCCUCAGGGCUGGUCAGAGCCUUUGCUGGGUGCUUCCUGUCACACCAAGGAGGGCUGGCCAGCCCCUUCCCGCCGGCUCCUCAAACCUUUGACUCCAUUCUGGGGCAUAAAACCUGCAGCCUCCUCCCCUUCAGUUGGGUUUUGUCAAUUCCAGGAAAGACUCAGUCCCUUCUCCUGCUCUCCAGCACACCCACUGGUUGCUGCUGGCUCUCAUAUCUGUCUCCUCUCAGGGAUGGAAGUUGAAAGAGAGGGGCACAGCCCCCAGGCCCGCCUUUGUUCUCAUCUUCCUUUUGGUCUCUGUCUGGUCCUGCUCCUUGGCUGAGACACUCCCUGAGUCCCCAUUUCCUGUGCCAGCGCAGACAGUCCUGGAACCUGCAGCACACUUCCUGAGACCACCUGGACCCGGGGCUGUCAAGAGGAUGUAUCUGACUCAACUUAGCUGGAAGUGAUGGACCCUCAGAAGGAAACUGCCCCGCUGCGGACUCACACCCACUUCUGAGCAAGGCUCCCUGCCGCGGACUCACACCCACUUCUGAGCGCGGCUCCCAGAUGCUGGGGUCUCAUUGACCUGGACUUCUGGUUUCCGGGACCCCCACUGUAGGAUUCCUGGGUCUGCCUCUUCCUCUGCAUCCAGGCAGACUUCUGGGUUUCCGCACCCCACUUUGCUCCACUGGCAUCAGUCCUGUGUUCUGAUCCAAACUCGGCGCCCAGACUGUGUCCUUCUUCUCUUGUCCUCCCUGUCAUGAUCACCCCUGCUCACUGCCACUCUCACCCUGGCAUGACAUCCCCUCUUUGGCACUCAGCAUCCAUUUCAGGAAAAGCCCAGGCUUUGAAAUAGAGUAAGGUGCAGGGGGAGACUGGAGCCGGGGGGUGAGGAGAAAGGAGGGGCCUGCUUUACCAACAGUUGUCGUUUGGAAGUGGGGUGCCAGGAAGACGGGUGUGAAGCAGAGGAAGGCGGCCAGGCAGGUGGCAUCCCUGCCACUGCGCUUGCAGUCUCUGUGGAAGAUGUUGAUCUUGGAUGGCUCAAAGUGGAGGCUGGCAUUGAUCUGAACCACAGGGCGGGACCUGCGGGAGAAGGGCCAGUGAGCUGGGGUGGGGCAGGGGCUCAGGCUGCCCUGCUGUGACCACGGGGAAAGACAAGAACCAGAUUCGAGUGGAAUCUGCAAAGCCACUGGAGGGGGUGAGGUGGAGGAUGGAGGGGGCUUUGGAUGUCAAAGGAUUGGCAAGAGGGAGCACAGGGGAAAGAGGGGCUCAGCCACCUCACAGCCCCUCCAUGCAGCCUCUCAGCACUUUCCCCCAGGGGUUGUGCUCGCUGUGGAUCAUGCUGACUCCCCUUUGCUCCCUCAUCACCUUUUCUAGCAGUGGUUCCCCACCCUGGAUGCACAUGUGAGUCAUCUGAAGAGCUUAAAAAAAGUCCUGGUGCCUCAGCUACACCCUAGGCAAAACCGCAUCAGAAUCAGGCCUUCGCAGGUUUUAAAGCAGUGCCUCUGAAAUUUUCAUAUGUGUGCAUGCCCCCUGGGGAUCGUGUUAAAAUGCAGAUUCUGAUCCAAUAGCUUGGCACCGAUUUUGCAUUUCUAACAAGCUCCCAGGUGAUGUGAACGUUCCAUGGACCACACUUUGAAGAGCGAGGCGUUAAAGUACCCUAGGUGAUUUCAGCAUGCAGCCAGCACCCAUCCACCCCCACACCACCCCAUCCAGGUAACCAAGGAAAUACAAAUUUACCCUUAUACCAGCCUAAGUCAAAUGUAAUUAGGAACGAAACCUAUUGCCUCUCCCAACCAUGAAUGUAGAUGGAAAGAAAUAGGAGUAGAGUGGCUUAGUGGUUUCAUAGCUUCAACGUGAUGAUCUGUGCCAAUACUCGACCUUGGCGGGUCACAUGAUCUCUGCAAUGGGGGAUUGUGAGGAUCAGAGGAGGUGAGAAUGUCCUUUGACAGCGUAGAGUGCUGUGUCAGCACAGUGGGCUACAUCUGAAGUUCUCAAACUUGACUGCCCAUUGGAAUCACUUGGGGAGUUUUAAAAGAAUUACUGCUGCGCAGGUCCCUCCACAGAAUUCUGCUUUAAUUGGUGUGGGUAAAGCGUGGGCAAUGACAUUUUAAAAGCUCCCCUGGCGAUCCUAAUGGGCAGUCAUGUUUGAGAACUAUGCGGCUUGACCAUAAAGUCUUCCCAGAGGACUCUGGCCCACAAUCUCAUCACUAUUUAGGUAGCACAUAAGUGUGGACUUCAAAAGCUAGAACUUGAUCCAAUCAUUUCUGUGAUUCUGAUUAUCUUGGGGUGUGUGUGCAUAUGUGUAUCUGGUUUCCUGUAGAGAAGUUUAUGUGUUACUUUAAAGACCUGCUAGGUUCUCUGUACCUCUCUCCCCGGGCCUUGGUCAUCUGCCUUGCUUUCUUGGUUGGAACCAACGCAGUGAACACCUUUACCACACCUUGCAAGCCCAGGCUGCUGUUGCUGCCACCAUCACCACCACCAAGGACCUAAGAGCCCCCACAUGCAGCACAGACCUUCGAAGAGACAGACCCUGCUCCUGUACACUAGCUGGGCUGCACAGGCCCUGGCUUCCCAGUGCUGCCUAGAGGGCCAGGGGACACCACCAGGACUGUCGGGCAGCAGAUGCUCUGGCCAUGACAAAUGAGGGAUCUGAAGGAGCCACAAGUCUGCUGCUCCCCCUUCUUUCCCUACAAUGGGCUGUGUUAUGCCACACUGGAAAUGCCGAGAUGCCGAGCAAAGAGCAGUACGCGUGGUGAAGACAGGCUGGCUUGCUCCCAUCUGCGCUCCCUUCCGGCUUCACUUUUGCUUCUGGGAUUGCACCCCACUCCCAAAGCAUUCAAGAGGCUUUUGCCUCAGGCUCUGUUUUCUAGGGAACCCGGAGGAAGACAUUUCCUCCUUGGGCUGUAGUAGCCUUGCGAACAGGAGCCCGUCUUUCCUUUAUUCUCCCUGUGAAGUUAUAUAUCUCUGUUCAAUGCCUUUUUAAAGUUGUAGGGCAGAUAUAAUUGCAUUUAUAUAAAAUUAUAAGCAGCGGAAAAAGGACUGGGAGAAGAUAUGCCACAAUAUUAAUAGUGCCAUUGUUAAGGUGAUGGCAGGCUGAGUAAUUCUUUUCCUUAUUUUAUAAAUGUUCUUUAUGUUAUUGUAUUUAUGAUGAAAAAUACCUCAUCAACAUAUAUGAAAAAAUACUCAAGGUCUUUUUUUUUCUGGCUCAAAAAGUAGCCAACAUAUGGUAAAAUAAAUGGGUGUUUAGGAAGCAUGAAAAUGAAGCCCCGAAGAAAGGAAGCAAGAAGUCAGAGUGCUUUGGAGGAAAGAAAUCUCUAUAUUAGAUAAACAUUCCUCCAAGCCAGGGUAGAAGGAAAGGUCCUCCCAGAUGGUAAAAAUAUGCUCAACUUGCCCCUGCAAGUGUUAUAGCUUGAAAAGCUGAGGUGGAAGACAUGCUCGAGUAGCCAGAACUUUUAGGACAAAUUCUAAGAGCGGGGGCUUUUGGACAGGACUUCAAUUUAUACUGAAUUUACACUGAUUCCACCAAAAGGAAAUGUGUAAGGAAGUUGGGGUAAGAACAGGGUGAGUCUAGCUGAGGGCAGUUAAAGACAAGAGAAAAAGAUCCUGAAGCCCGUUUUUAAAACCCCUGCAUUCAUUGUGACCUUCAGGAGAGCCCAGGAGGUGGGAACAGUGGGGGAACCAACCAGAGAAUCACAGCGUUGCCAAGGGCUCCCACUGCCAGGUCGAUAAGCCCAUCCUCAUUGAGGUCCAAUUGCCCGUGGAUGCUGCAGCCAAAAUACUGGAGGCCGGUAGCCAGCUCUGAGGCUGUGAUUCUCUGCAGGGAGCAGGAAGACAGGGGGAGGGCGUGCACACCGUGAGUGUGGGGGUGGGCGGCCCUGAGCUGCAGGAACAAUCGGGAGCCUGUUUGAAAUCAUGAAGAAGCUUCCCCAACCCAAAGCAAUCUCGUCUCCUGGCCUGUCACGGCACCUGAAAUUCCUACCAUUCAAGUCAUUCUUUUGGAUUAAAAUAUCAUGUCUUAAAAGAGUUCCCUAUUAAGUGUAAAUACAUGUGACCUGGCAAACGACCCAUCCACGUCCCUCACACUGGUCUAUUUUUUAGACUAUCUUACUAAUAAACCAUGGGGCAAAAGGAUGAUCCUCAGGGGAUGGGACCCAAGACGGGUCGGUUUUGAGGUGGGCACGAUUUCUAGCACGAAGCGCUUCCAGAGAAGAGUGAGCCCAGAAGAGAUGCUCCGCUGCAUGACCAGGACAGAUUGGCAUCCGUUCCUGUGAGAGGGCACGGAAGAAAAUCCUGAACCAGAUGAGGCACAGAAGCUCCUGGGACUCCUGCAGCCCCAUUUGCUCCAUCUACUUCCCCGGGGAAGCCUGACCUGCUUAGGCGUCUUCAGGAUGCUGCCUCGGAAGCCGUGGAAGAUGUAGAUGGCUCCUGCGUGGUUGUCCUCCAGGGGCGCUCCCACCACCACAUCGUCGUAGGAAUCCUGGUUGAGGUCUCGAACUGAGGCAAUGGAGGACCCAAACCGGGCAUUCUGGUAACUGUGUGAAUCCUUGAGCGUUCCGUUAUAAACAAACCGAUUCUGCAAAACCAGGGGCAGAAAAGGGCUGGGGAGGGCUUGGCAAAAGUCCCCAGGCUCAUAAUUCCCUCUGCAGGCUGCUCUAGCAUCCUCUCCCCACUCCAUUCCCCCAGAUCCCCGUCUCUGGCUAUAUGAGCCCAGCCACAGACGAGGCUCUGAUUCUCCCCAGGCCUGGCUCCAGCACUGGCCUCGCUAGUAACCCAUUUCCCUCGUGGCUACCCAAGUCAAAGCAGAGGCUGGGGGCCCCCGAGAAGCUGCCCAGCCCCUGCCCAGCUGUACCUGUCUCAGCUCGUAGACGUACACUUUGCCUCGCUCGCGGCCCUCGCUGAAGUACAUGGGUGCACCCACCAGCAGGACAUCAGUGACACCAUCUCCGUCAAUGUCCACCGAGGUGAUCUCACUCCCAAAGUAAGAGCCUAUCUGCGGCACGUGAUGGGAGAGAGGAGUGGGCUGGCUGCCCAGCUCGCACAGCCCAGAGUCCUUGCCUCGCCGGCAGAGGGAAGCCAAGGUCAUCUUUUGACUCAGAAUUUUUAGUGAACAAAUGGGUCCUCCCUUCUCAUGCGCUCCCUCUCUCUCCUCUCCCUCAGAGCGGACUUGCCUGUUUUCAGUUUGCCCUUCUCCCCUUCUCUCUUUUCCUUCUGUCAUUAUCCCCUUCCCACUCUUCUUUCUUUCUGUUAAUUUUAUUGGUGGCCAUUUGUCUUGUGUGUAAAGUGAAAUAAUGGCAAAAAAUAAGGAGAAUAUUUAAAAGUAUGAAGAAGAAAACAAAAGUUACCCACAAUCCUGACAUCCAAAUAAAACUACCAUGAAUGUUUUAGCGGAUUUUCUUCUAGUUUUUUUCCACUGAGGCAUGUUGCCUAUUUGUACUUGUGUGUUAUUUUUACGAAUUGGAGUAAUAAUGUAAAUAUAGUUUAUAUACUGAUUUUUAAAUAAACAAUAUAUCAUCAA